UUGAACGCUGGCGGCAGGCCUAACACAUGCAAGUCGAACGGUAACAGGAAGCAGCUUGCUGCUUCGCUGACGAGUGGCGGACGGGUGAGUAAUGUCUGGGAAACUGCCUGAUGGAGGGGGAUAACUACUGGAAACGGUAGCUAAUACCGCAUAACGUCGCAAGACCAAAGAGGGGGACCUUAGGGCCUCUUGCCAUCGGAUGUGCCCAGAUGGGAUUAGCUAGUAGGUGGGGUAACGGCUCACCUAGGCGACGAUCCCUAGCUGGUCUGAGAGGAUGACCAGCCACACUGGAACUGAGACACGGUCCAGACUCCUACGGGAGGCAGCAGUGGGGAAUAUUGCACAAUGGGCGCAAGCCUGAUGCAGCCAUGCCGCGUGUAUGAAGAAGGCCUUCGGGUUGUAAAGUACUUUCAGCGGGGAGGAAGGGAGUAAAGUUAAUACCUUUGCUCAUUGACGUUACCCGCAGAAGAAGCGCCGGCUAACUCCGUG
rnacentral:rRNA from 1 species